GGACCCCUACGGGGGGCAGCAGUGAGGAAUAUUGGUCAAUGGCCGAGAGGCUGAACCAGCCAAGUCGCGUGAGGGAAGACGGCCCUACGGGUUGUAAACCUCUUUUGUCGGGGAGCAAAGAGAGUCACGUGUGACUCAUUGAGAGUACCCGAAGAAAAAGCAUCGGCUAACUCCGUGCCAGCAGCCGCGGUAAUACGGAGGAUGCGAGCGUUAUCCGGAUUUAUUGGGUUUAAAGGGUGCGCAGGCGGAGGGGCAAGUCAGCGGUCAAAUUGCGGGGCGCAACCCCGUACUGCCGAUGAAACUGG
rnacentral:rRNA from 1 species